rnacentral:rRNA from 1 species
GAUGAACGCUGGCGGCGUGCCUAAUACAUGCAAGUCGAGCGAACAGACGAGGAGCUUGCUCCUCUGACGUUAGCGGCGGACGGGUGAGUAACACGUGGAUAACCUACCUAUAAGACUGGGAUAACUUCGGGAAACCGGAGCUAAUACCGGAUAAUAUAUUGAACCGCAUGGUUCAAUAGUGAAAGACGGUUUUGCUGUCACUUAUAGAUGGAUCGGCGCCGCAUUAGCUAGUUGGUAAGGUAACGGCUUACCAAGGCAACGAUGCGUAGCCGACCUGAGAGGGUGAUCGGCCACACGGGAACUGAGACACGGUCCAGAUUCCUACGGGAGGCAGCAGUAGGGAAUCUUCCGCAAUGGGCGAAAGCCUGACGGAGCAACGCCGCGUGAGUGAUGAAGGUCUUCGGAUCGUAAAACUCUGUUAUUAGGGAAGAACAAAUGUGUAAGUAACUAUGCACGUCUUGACGGUACCUAAUCAGAAAGCCACGGCUAACUACGUG